rnacentral:rRNA from 1 species
GACAGAGGGUGCAAACGUUGCUCGGAAUCACUGGGCGUAAAGGGCGUGUAGGCGGGAAGGUAAGUCAGAUGUGAAAUCCCCAGGCUCAACCUGGGAACUGCAUUUGAAACUCCCUUUCUUGAGUACCGGAGAGGAAAGUGGAAUUCCUGGUGUAGAGGUGAAAUUCGUAGAUAUCAGGAGGAACACCAGUGGCGAAGGCGGCUUUCUGGACGGUAACUGACGCUGAGACGCGAAAGCGUGGGGAGCAAACAGG